UCAGAAUUUGGAAGAUUUCUAGUUUGGACAUAGACUGGAAGAAGCAAGAACAAUGGAGGAUGGCGAUUACGAAACGUACUUUAUAACCAGUUCCGAAGCCACUGAGUUCGUUGAGUGCUUCUUCGAACGAAUGUACUGCAAGACGUGGGAAGAUUGUAGGAAUGACGAGCCUGUCUGGGUGGGACCCAUGCAGCCAUCCAAAGUAUGCUGGGGUCCCCCCUUGUACGCUCCGAUGUGCUCACUCUCCGUCCAUAGCUUUGCUUGGACGCUUGAAAAAGAGAUUCGGACGGGUUUGUCAGUCAGCAGAGUAGUGGCAACAAAAGGCAAGGUGUCAGGGUGGCAAGUUUUGAGCAUAGAAUAUUUCAUUGGCAACUACGAUACGCCAACUGAAAUCCGUGCAAAGACACGAUUGUAUUCAGCAAGUGGCAGUCCCCCUCUCACGUUUACAUACAUUAUCCAGCUUCAAAUGAUACUGAGAGGUCUAGAAACCCUAUACAUGCAUAUUUGUGGAGUGGAGAUAUGGCAGGAGGACUUGUGAUGGCCGGCUGGCCGACGAAUGCAAGCUGUUCUCCAGUGUGGUAAAAUCGAUUGGAUGGAGCGUGCUGGUUGAAGACCUGAUACACGUAGCUUUGAUCAAACCAGCCGUCGUAGACUACGCUUGCAACAACAUCCAGCCGAGCCAGAUACACCAAGCUAUUGUGCAUUACCUGUGAAUAAUAAUGUGUGUACAAAUAUUA